GAACCUGCGGAAGGAUCAUUAU
rnacentral:rRNA from 4 species